rnacentral:rRNA from 1 species
AUUGAACGCUGGCGGCAUGCCUUACACAUGCAAGUCGAACGGCAGCACGGGUGCUUGCACCUGGUGGCGAGUGGCGAACGGGUGAGUAAUACAUCGGAACGUACCUUAUCGUGGGGGAUAACGCAGCGAAAGCUGUGCUAAUACCGCAUACGCCCUGAGGGGGAAAGCGGGGGAUCGAAAGACCUCGCGCGAUUAGAGCGGCCGAUGCCUGAUUAGCUUGUUGGUGGGGUAAAAGCCCACCAAGGCGACGAUCAGUAGCUGGUCUGAGAGGACAAUCAGGCACACUGGGACUGAGACACGGCCCAGAAUCCUACGGGAGGCAGCAGUGGGGAAUUUUGGACAAUGGGGGCAACCCUGAUCCAGCAAUGCCGCGUGAGUGAAGAAGGCCUUCGGGUUGUAAAGCUCUUUUGUCAGGGAAGAAACACCGGCUCUAACACAGUCCGGGAAUGACGGUACCUGAAGAAUAAGCACCGGCUAACUACGUGCCAGCCGCCGCAGUAA